rnacentral:tRNA from 1 species
GUUCUCGUAGCUCAGCAGGAUAGAGCAAUCGCCUCCUAAGCGAUAGGUCGCCGGUUCAAUUCCGGCCGAGGACG